rnacentral:misc_RNA from 1 species
GAUGAAGAACGUAGUGAAAUGCGAUAAGUAAUGUGAAUUGCAGAAUUCAGUGAAUCAUCGAAUCUUUGAACGCACAUUGCGCCCGCCAGUAUUCUGGCGGGCAUGCCUGUCCGAGCGUCAUUUCAACCCUCGAGCCCCCGGGCUUGGUGUUGGAGAUCGGCGAGCCCCCCGGGGCGCGCCGUCUCCCAAAUAUAGUGGCGGUCCCGCUGUAGCUUCCUCUGCGUAGUAGCACACCUCGCACUGGGAAACAGCGUGGCCACGCCGUAAAACCCCCCACUUCUGAAAGGUUGACCUCGGAUCAGGUAGGAAUACCCGCUGAACUUAAGCAUAUCAAUAAGCGGAGGA